rnacentral:rRNA from 1 species
UCGGGAAUUUUGGGCAAUGGGCGAAGGCCUGACCCAGCAACGCCGCGUGAAGGAUGAAGUAUUUCGGUAUGUAAACUUCGUAAGAAUAGGAAGAAUAAAUGACGGUACUAUUUGUAAGGUCCGGCUAACUACGUGCCAGCAGCCGCGGUAAUACGUAGGGACCAAGCGUUGUUCGGAUUUACUGGGCGUAAAGGGCGCGUAGGCGGUGUGUCAAGUCAGUUGUGAAAUCUCCGAGCUUAACUCGGAACGGUCAACUGAUACUGUCACACUAGAGUACAGAAGGGGCAAUCGGAAUUCUUGGUGUAGCGGUGAAAUGCGUAGAUAUCAAGAGGAACACCUGAGGCGAAGGCGGGUUGCUGGGCUGAUACUGACGCUGAGGCGCGAAAGCUAGGGUAGCAAACGGGAUUAGAUACCCCUGUAGUCCCUGAGCGGGCUGGCAAGGCGCAU